rnacentral:lncRNA from 1 species
UCUUUUCUCACCGCACGCUCUGUGUCCUUUUCUUGCACCUACUGUUUAACAGUCAUUCCCGAAGCCCACUUUUCAUUUUAUAGUUUUCUACUUUUCAUUUUGCUUUUCUUUUCUUUCUUUUGAUUGAUUUUUUUGUUUUUUUUUUUUUUUAUUCCUUCUUUCUUCCCUUCUGGCCUUUUCACCGAACAUCCCCAUCUAUUGUCUUUCCUUCUCUUUUUUGGGGUUUUCCUCUUUCGUUCUUUUCUUUUUCAUUUGCUGGUCCUCCUCUUUUCUUUGUUCUUAUUUUUUUUAUUCUUUUUGUCCUGUUCCCUAUUUCGGUUAUUCUACUGCAUCUUCUCCUUCCUAAAGCUAACGCCAAUCCUGCAACUUCCUCGCCAGAGCUCCUUCCCACCGAAUCUCAUCCGCACACUAACGACACGGCCCUAAACAAUCGGUGACCCUUCCAUCGCCCGUCCACCGAUAGUCGCUAUCCCACGGAAAGAUGAACAGGCGCAAAAGAACAACAAGAAAACGAGGAAUGGAACACGGACACUAAUGAACAGCCAAACUCCUUAGAUAUUAAGGAACUAAGUCAACGUCAAGAAAAGUUCAGAUUCAGCCAUAACAACCACGCAACCUAAACGAAAUCAUGCUCAAUGAUCCAUAAAGGAUUCCUUUUACGCAAGAAAGGAGCAUACUCAUUCCAAAUGAUCCGAAAUUCACGACCUAAUCCACGUUAACUUAGUUCAAGCGUUUUAUCAAACACGUGGUAAGCACUGACUCGGGAUGAAGUUAUUAACUCCUUUUUGGACCCGCUCGAGUCUAGACCCAGAGAAAUCAUCAAGAAACAUGCAAGAUCGACCACAUCAACUUACUUAAACUCAGCGUGCAUAUAGGCUAACAAAAGGAACAAGACUUGGCUUUCGGUUAGAUCAAAACAAGGAGGAGCAGCAAAUGGUUCGUGCGAACAAGCAUCUCAUCACGGAGUUCCCUACCCAACUCGAAGACGGCAGGAAGCGGGCUUACUUGCUACAAAUCGAGCUAUAGCUCGCCGCUUUGGUAUUUUCGAGCUGAGAUCCUCGGGCAAGAGAGGUUUAAACCAAGUAAAGAAACUCACCAGUGACGCCGAGAUCCGUGGGCGAAAGAUCGUAUGCUAGAGUGUACUGGCCAGAGGUCGUCGAAGAUGGUUCGAGCGUGGCCGAUCUACUAGAAAAACUCCUUCUCGCUCUCAAGUUUUACUUUCCUCCUCCUAGUCGCUCUAUGUCUCCCCAUUUCUGCUCAUCCCUUCUUUUCUUUUUAAACUGCCGUUGGUUCUCUCUCUUUUUUUUUUUGGUUGCCUUUGUCCGAAAUGUCUUUCUGCUAGCCCACAAAGCCAGCUCUCUUUCUUUUCCAUCUUCAGCUCUAAUUUUUUCGGUCAGUCCAACCUCCUUGCCUCUAUGUAUGUCUGCGGUCAGUUUUCUCCUUGGGACCGAGUUCAAUCUAUUUUCAGCUACAACGAUUGCAGGUUUUCUUGGACUUCGUCAACUGCAGGAGUUGCCACGCUGCAGCUAAGCGUUCAUUGCUUCCAUUUUUCUGAAAUCGCAGUUGCUAAUCCUCUACAGAUCCUUCUUCGGCUUUCUCCUGUUCUGUCUUCUGUUCUGUUUCUUUCUUUUUGCAGGUCUUCGAAGACCGACACAGAGGGAAGAAGACCCUCGCUCGUGGGCUGAAAGGGAAAAAAAGGGGGUUGGGUUGCUGUUGUUUCUUU